UACACUGUUUGUAUUAUAGCUCUGGUUUCAUUUCACUGUUUAUGAGAAAUAUUUAGAUUUCAAAUACUGUUCUUAUCUUGAUUUCUGAGUCACAGUCCCAUUUGGUUCCAUUUUACAAAAUGGGAUCAAACAGGAUCAUGACUUAUUCAUAAUUACAUAAUACAUAUAUCUUUAUGCUGAAUGGUAGCUAAUUAUGAUGUGAGUGUUAUCAAAUAUUGUUUGUAAUGAGUGUACUUCGAUUAACAAUCUAGCACUAUUCUAAUACAGAUUACAAAUUGAUUAAAAAAAGAAAGAGAAAAGAAAUCAGAAGAAAAAGAUUGUACAAAGAGAGUUCUUAUAGAGAAAAGUUCAGAGUGAAAGAAUAUCAGAAGCCACUUCACUGUGGUAAUUUCGGCUUAUUAUUCUUCCGUGGCGUACGCCACCCCCUAUUAUCAAGGAUGGCGUACGCUACCGCACUAGUUAAUUCGUAUAAGAAGAGCUGCAAAGCUUAGAAGCUUUGAACAGCUCAAGCAACCUUUGAACUACAUCUGGUAGCAUGUCUAAACCGAAGGGAGCAUACGCUCCUGGGGGCGUGAUAAUUCCGCCUACGACGCGAGUCGUAGUUAUCAUGCCAGCGUGGUCAUCUCUACGCUCUAGAGUUCGAUCGUACGAAUGAGCGGUGAAGUCGGAACGCUUCCGAUUGCAAAAUUGGUAGCAGACGACUCACCGCCAUACGUGAGGCGAGCCGAGGGCGUAGGAAGGCGGUGUAGAGGUGGACAACGGUUCAAAGGACCACCCUACUCGCAAGCUUAAGAAGGAG
rnacentral:sRNA from 1 species